AGCUUUGCACAGUGGCAGUAUCGUAGCCAAUGAGGUUUAUCUGAGGCACAAUUACUGCUAAUUGAAAAAGUGAAGGAUGUUAUUUACAUGGUAGUCCUUAAAAUAAUAGUAAAAUAAUAUAUAAU
rfam:Canis lupus familiaris chromosome 7, whole genome shotgun sequence.